UCUCCUUCCCUUCCUCGCAAGCUCCUCUCUCCACUCCCAUGGCGCUGCUGUUGCCACCUCCCGCCCUCUCACCCAAGCCCCCCUUCCCCUCCGCUCCCCGAUCAGCUAGGCUGCCCCGCGUAAGAUGCACCAGGAUCACCACCGACACCGCAAGCUUAUCCUCCCCUCCUCCGGCUUCGGCGUCUUCUCCCUCGACCUCCUCGCCGGCGGCGUCGGACGUCGCUGUUGGAGGGAAGGGUAAGAAGAAGAGGAGACCACUCAAGCCGAGCUUUGAGGAUCAGGCCCUCCGACGCUGGUCCGCCAGGGCGCCCUCCAAGCGUGUCUCCGUGCCCUGGGAGCAGCAGUCGCCGCCGCCGCCGCCGCCGCACCAGGCUGACCGGGAAAGAGGCUCAAGCGCUACGUUGCGGUCCAUCGUGGACUACUUCGCUGGCGGAUCCUCCGGCGAUGACAGCGAGCGAGAAGAGAAAGGGGCGGGCGACACCGCAGCGGUCCGGGCUGAAGCGGCGCAGGACCAGGACGAUGGGCCACAUUUCCGGCCGAGCUAUCUGCUUGGGAACAAGCCAGUCUCUGCGCCGUGGAUGCACGGUGAAGAAUCAACCAAUGAGCAGUGGGUUUCCGGUUCGGUGGCUGAAGGGGAGGAAGGGGUGGACAUGGAUGACAUUUCUGAUGAUGAACUGGGCUUGGCAGAAGGAGAUGAUGAGGAACUGGACCGUGGUGAUGAGCUCCUUAAUGAGAGUUCAGAAGAGGAAUGGUAUGAGGAUUAUGUCGUACCGACUGCGAAUUCUUCCUAUGGGAGGGAUUUGGUAGUGGACAGAGGUUAUAAUGUCGGUGGGUCUGAUACGAGUAUGAGGCGGGGCAGUGUAAACAGCAUUGUUAAAACCUUGAGGAGUUCAAUGGAGGAAAGUAGUCCAAAUGUCACAAUUGAACAGUCUAAUGCGGAAGAUUUCGUCCAGAAGCUGGGUCCUGUGCUCCUACCAUGGGAAAGGGAGGAGGAAGAUGAUGAGGUGUUCGGUGGUGGCAAGGUGGGGAGGCACAGCAAUACUGAGCUGGCGGAUAGGACUAUCCCAGAGCAUGAGCUGCGGAGGCUCAGGGAUGCGGCAUUAAGGAUGAAGGAGAGGAUAAAGGUUGGACCAGGAGGGGUUACUCAGGACAUUGUGGAGAACAUCCACAGGAAAUGGAAAGUGGAUGAGGUUGUCAAGAUGAGGUUUGAAGGCCCUCCGAGCCUGAACAUGAAGAGAGCUCAUGAUUUACUAGAGGAUAGGACUGGAGGAAUUGUUAUAUGGAGGUCAGGGAGAUCAGUUGUGUUGUAUAGGGGAAUGAACUACAACCUUCAAUGUGUGCAGUCAUAUGCGAAAUUUACAGAAAUUGAUUCUGAUAAGGAAGUUGCUGAUGCUAAUAGUGCUGUACCGAUCCAUGGAGGUCACAACUCGCAUAAGUCAAGGGCAGAUGGUGUGAAGCGCUCAACAUCUAGUGGCAAUUUCUCUCAAGAACUAGAAGACACACAAGCAUUUGAUAUUGAUGCCUUCUUGGAUCAGUUGGGACCACGGUUCAAGGAUUGGUCUGGUCGCAGCCCUAUCCCUGUUGAUGCUGACUUGCUUCCUGGUGUAGUACCUGGCUACAAACCACCAUUUAGAAUACUUCCCUACAAGAUUAAGAGCACUCUAAGAGAUAAGGAAAUGACAGCUCUACGUAGGCUUGCAAGGCAAACUGCUCCUCAUUUCGCUCUAGGGAGAAACAGAGAGCACCAAGGCUUAGCUGCUGCUAUGGUUAAAUUAUGGGAGAAAAGUGCUAUUGCAAAGAUUGCCAUCAAGAGAGGGGUCCCAAACACAUGCAAUGACAGAAUGGCAGAAGAAAUCAAGAAAUUGACAGGAGGAGUGCUCUUGUCAAGGAAUAAGGAAUACAUUAUCUUCUACAGGGGCAAUGAUUUCAUAACACCUAAAGUAAGGCAGGUCUUGGUGGAGAAGCAAGAACAAUCCAUUACUCAACAGGACGACGAAGAACUGGCUCGUCUUAAAGCAUCAGCCUCAAUUACAACCAUCCCCAAUGAAUUGAAGGGCCCUCUAGUUGCUGGCACUCUUGCAGAAACCACAGAAGCAAAAUCUCGAUGGGGAGACUCACUUAAUGACAAGCAGAGGGAAGAGGAGAUGAAGCGUUUGGCUUUGAUGAAGCACACUUCUCUUUUGAAUAACUUGAAGAGAAAACUGAUUUUAGCAAAAACAAAAGUUGCAAAAGCAGAGAGGGCUUUAGCGAAAGUUCAGGAAUUUCUCUCUCCGGCAGAGCUUCCAACUGAUUUGGAAACAGUUACAGAUGAGGAGCGUUUCCUAUUUCGCAGAAUUGGCCUCAAAAUGAGGGCCUUUUUGAUGCUUGGCAGACGAGAAGUUUUUGAUGGAACUGUGCAAAACAUGCACUUGCAUUGGAAGCAUCGAGAAUUGGUUAAAAUUAUUGUCAGGGGAAAGAGCUUUGCACAAGUGAAGCAUAUUGCAAUCUCUCUAGAAGCUGAGAGUGAAGGUGUUCUCAUUUCAGUUGACAAGACAACUAAAGGAUAUGCAAUCAUUUUCUACCGGGGUAAAAACUACAGGCGACCCGAAAUCAUGAAGCCUAGGAAUCUAUUAACAAGGAGACAAGCAUUGGCGCGUUCUAUAGAGCUCCAAAGGCGGGAGGCGUUAAAGCAUCAUAUCUCAAGUCUGCAAAACAAGAUCUGGAAGUUGAAUACGCAACUUGUACAGAUGAAGGCGGCCAAGGAAAAAGAGGAUUCGAAGCUACUUCAAACAGUUGAGGAUGACCUUUCAUCGGACGAUGUUGAUGUAGAGGAUGAAGGGGAGGAGGCCUAUUUACAAACUUACAGCAGCGACGAAGAAGAGGAUGCUGACGGUGAUUCCAAUGAAUAUCUUUGAACCAGUGUGGUUUUAAUCUUUUUGUGCGAAAGCGUGACCAGGAGAAAGCAAAAUUCAAGGAAGAUGUACCUGUGCAUGGCUGCAAAAUUCAAGGAAGAUAUCCAUGUGCAGGGCUGCAAUGCUGCAAUCCAGCUGCUUCUCCGCCAAUGGCGGCGGCGCGCGGCGGAGGCGCAGAUAGAGGAGCGCGGGCGGCGGCAGUUGGACAGCCGCGGCGACAGCGCACAGCCCCAGUAGCAACGGGGCACGCGGGGCAGCCGCGGCGAGGGGCGCGCGGCCAGCAGCAGCCUCGACGGCGGCGUGCGCUGGGGCCACCAACGGCAGCGCGCGGACGCCCGGUUGUGGGCACCGAGCAACAGCAGUAAUGGUGGUGGCGGCAGGCGUACGGCAGGUGGAGGCGUGGAUUGCGGAGGCAACGAAUCGGACGGAGGAAAAUUAUUUGUACGGAUCUCCAACAGUGGAAGUCAUUGUCAAGACCGGCUACAGUACCGCUUCGGCCUGGUUUCGGAGUUCUGGCCCAUGGGCCUAUCGUGUUAACGGCUUUUACUGUUAUUGAUCCAGCCCAUGUAACGAGUUUUGACCUUUGUUAGCGUCGUCACUAUGAUCGUUAAUGCCUAGCAAUAGGUUUUCUGUACGGUAUUUUUUAUGUCAUAUAUAAAUUCACAAACGU